UGUGUCCUUCGGGGUGUGGGUGAAAGUCCCAACCGGCGGUGAUGUAAGUUCUAGCUUACUAGCCCGCGACCUGCAAAGAGCAUUCUUUGUGGCUGAUUUGGUGAGAAACCAAAGCCGACGGUGAAAGUCCGGAUGGGAGAAGGAUUAG
rnacentral:ncRNA from 2 species